AAAGGGGGCAACCCCCGGUAGCGUGGCAGACGGGUGAGUAACACGUGGGUAACCUGCCCGGAGGUGGGGGAUAACCCUUCGAAAGGAGGGCUAAUACCGCAUGACAUCGCGAGGACUUUGGGCCUUGCGAUCAAAGCUGGCCUCUGUUUACAAGCUAGCGCCACCGGAGGGGCCCGCGCCCCAUUAGCUAGUUGGUGAGGUAAUGGCUCACCAAGGCGACGAUGGGUAGCCGGCCUGAGAGGGCGACCGGCCACACUGGAACUGGGACACGGUCCAGACUCCUACGGGAGGCAGCAGUGAGGAAUCUUGCGCAAUGGGCGAAAGCCUGACGCAGCGACGCCGCGUGGAGGACGAAGGUCUUCGGAUUGUAAACUCCUGUCGAGAGGGACGAAUGCCGUAAGGGUGAACAAUCCUCACGGUUGACGGUACCUCCAGAGGAAGCCCCGGCUAACUCCGUGCCAGCAGCCGCGGUAAUACGGAGGGGGCCAGCGUUGUUCGGAAUCAUUGGGCGUAAAGGGCGCGUAGGCGGCCGACCAAGUCGGAGGUGAAAUCCCUCGGCUCAACUGAGGAACUGCCUCCGAUACUGUUCGGCUUGAGUCCCGGAGAGGGUAGUGGAAUUCCGAGUGUAGCGGUGAAAUGCGUAGAGACUCGGAAGAACACCAGUGGCGAAGGCGACUACCUGGACGGGUACUGACGCUGAAGCGCGAAAGCUAGGGGAGCAAACAGGAUUAGAUACCCUGGUAGUCCUAGCUGUAAACGAUGGGCACUUGGUGUUGCGGGUAUCGACCCCUGCAGUGCCGAAGCUAACGCAUUAAGUGCCCCGCCUGGGGAGUACGGUCGCAAGGCUG
rnacentral:rRNA from 1 species